rnacentral:rRNA from 1 species
UACGUAGGGGGGCAAGCGUUGUCCGGAUUUAUUGGGCGUAAAGAGCGUGUAGGCGGCCAGAUAGGUCCGUUGUGAAAACUGGAGGCUUAACCUCCAGCUGUCGAUGGAAACCAUCUGGCUAGAGUCCGGAAGAGGAGAGUGGAAUUCCUGGUGUAGCGGUGAAAUGCGCAGAUAUCAGGAAGAACACCCGUGGCGAAGGCGGCUCUCUGGGACGGUACUGACGCUGAGGUGCGAAAGCGUGGGGGAGCAAACAGG